AGCGCCACCGGGUCGACGCCGCGGGUGACGACCAGAUAAUCGCGGAUGACGAUGCCGUGCCGGUUCUC
rnacentral:sRNA from 2 species